rnacentral:lncRNA from 1 species
GGAUGAUGGUGUGGGCAGAGGACUGUUUCACAACUAUGCUAUUGUGAAAGACAUGAACAAUGAAGAUGUGUGAACAAGCUCUCAUGGCCCAGGGGAUUAUAGCUGUGCAUGAAGUAGUGAGUGGAGGAGGGGGCCAGCCCAACCCUAAGCAGGGGCUGCAGGCAGCCCUGCGGACUUUGCUGGAAAGCCUGAGCCUCUCUGGGAACAGGGCACAUCUCUUGAGCAGAGUCAGGUCAUGGAGCGGCUCUGGUUGGGGAGGAAGGGGCAGCUCCAGCUGCUAAGCUUGGCUGAGAAGAUGCCACUGGCCAUUCUAGGGCAAGUAUGCCAAAUGCUUCUGUGAGCAAAUGCCUUUGCUUUUGGUUGCUUUCAUCAAAGUUUCAAAGAGAUCUGUGACCCUCUUCGUUUGGGUGUUUGGCUGGAGUGUGAUGAAGGUGUGACUGCAGGGCCUUGUGGUGGAGGCAGGAGUGUGUAAACAGCCCCACUGGGUGUGGAUGAUGCAUGAAGAUUCUCAGUUGCUAGUUGAGUCACCAGGUUGGUGGCUGGAAGCUUCUUCAGAACUGGGCAAAAACAGUAAUGAGAUUGAUUCCCAGCUUUUAUUGGCCUAAUGAGCUGGCACUAAUUUGGACAUGCCACUUCACACUCAAGUUUGCAUAUCUAUAAAAUUGAAAGGGGGCAAAGUAAUCCCUUAAUAGUAGGCAUUUUAACAUGGACACACUCGGGUGCACAGAGUGCCAAAGUGUUGGCCAGGCAUGUUUGCAAUAUGAAAGUUUGAACUAGAUUUCUCUUGGGGAAUUCAUAUACACAUUAUAAAAUACAUGGUGUAUUUAUAUGAGCACUGGGGAAAGAAGUGACAAGAGAUUUGUGGAGUGUAGGUGAAGCUGUUGAAGAAAUCCAGUCUGCAUUCAGCUCUGUACUUGGCAACGUUUCUGGAAGGACUAGCAGCAAACGCUUCUAUUCUGGGAACAGUCUCUCCCACCUUUGCACUUUCCCCAUCAGGCGGGUGUGGGCCUUGGUGAUUAGCUGAGUCUGAAAAUAAACGGCGCCUCUGUCUCCAGGGUCAGAUUCCAGAUGCUGAACAAUAACCUGCCAGCAUGGGGGAGACUGAAACAAAAGCCUCUCAGGAAGUGAUGCUCCAUCUUGGUUGAGGAGUUGGCACGUUUCCAGAAGGGAUGUCUCCCGGCUGUCAGGCCAUCGGGACUUUCAGCGUUCUGCAUGUGGCUCCACUGCAGAACACACACACUCAGAACAGCACCAACAUUGUGUCAGCACCCCAUUAUAACUUCCCCUGUUUUCCUUUCCAUAAACUCAAGAAUUCUUCUCUGGCAAAUUUCAUUUUAUGGAGAUGCUAAUAUUCUUCAUCUAAUUCAAUUUUCCCGCACCCAAACCUUCACCCAUAAGAGACAAUAUCACAGCCUGAGAGAGGAGGCUGGCUCUGUAGGAAUGGCUUUGAGAGCAUUCGAAUCUUCUCAUCAUUAUUUCUGAUGAAUCGAGACUGGCAGGCAUUAGCCAAAGUCAGAGGAAAUCAACUAACACCUCUCUCCCAUUACAAAGGAGAAGUAACUUAAGAAGUAACUUAAGAAGUAACUUAAAAAGUAACUUAAAAAUGUUGAAAGAUGUCAUGUGUGGUGGCUCACGUAUGUAAUCCCAGCACUUUGGGGGGCUGAGGCGGGAGGAUCACUUGAGGCAAGGUAAGGCGUAGGCAACAUAGUGAGAACCCAUCUCUACCAAAAAUUUAAAAAAAUAGCAGGGCAUGGUGGCACGCGCCUGUCGUCCCAGC